CCUCCCUCCCUCCUCUCCUGGCAGCAACCAGAGGAUGGAUGUCCUAUUCACGUAAAGCAUAGUUAUAGGUGCAAGCAAUGGAGUCCCUAGACCCAGGAGCUUAAGCAAGGAGACCUUGGAGGGAAGAUUCCAGGCUGGAUGCUGCUGCUACCCCAGCAGAGAAACCAGGGUGCCUGAGACCAGAACCCAAGGGGGGCUUUGGACUCGGUGGGGUGACCGUGCUAUAUAGGAACUGAGCAAAAUUGUAAACUUAAUCAUCUUCCCCUCUACAGAGACUGAGAGGGUAGAGGAGGGAUUAUGUCUCCUAAAUUUUAGGAGAGAAUUGGCCAUGGAGCAACAUGAAGGGAAAGGACUUGUGGAGAAAAUCUCUGCCUAUGCUUCCAGUGAGUCACCCUGCCAAUUUUUUGUCUGCCUUCUCUACCCCAAAUGAGAUCACAGAGAGUCAGACAUGACUGAAACUACUGAACAAGAACAAAAAUUGUGACUUCUUUGUGGCUGAGCAUUACUGGAGGCAGCUGUGACAUCAUGAUGGCAUAGUCUGCUACAAAUCCAUAUUAUGUAACCUUAGUUGAGCCCUUGUUGCUGUUUAGCAUUACCUCGGAUUGGCUUCCCAUAACACUCUCUCUAGUAGUUGUUCUAAAACUCCCUUUCAAAUUUCCAGCAAUCCUUAUGGUUUAGGGCAAAGAAUAUUAGAUUUGGAGCCAGAGGAAGUGGGUUUUGAAGCUGAGAUCUGAUAUUUACUACCUAUGUAA